rnacentral:rRNA from 1 species
UGUGAACUCGAAGAGUAGGGCGGGACACGUGGUAUCCUGUCUGAAUAUGGGGGGACCAUCCUCCAAGGCUAAAUACUCCUGACUGACCGAUAGUGAACCAGUACCGUGAGGGAAAGGCGAAAAGAACCCCGGCGAGGGGAGUGAAAAAGAACCUGAAACCGUGUACGUACAAGCAGUGGGAGCCUACUUGUUAGGUGACUGCGUACCUUUUGUAUAAUGGGUCAGCGACUUAUAUUCUGUAGCAAGGUUAACCGUAUAGGGGAGCCGCAGGGAAACCGAGUCUUAACUGGGCGUUAAGUUGCAGGGUAUAGACCCGAAACCCGGUGAUCUAGCCAUGGGCAGGUUGAAGGUUGGGUAACACUAACUGGAGGACCGAACCGACUAAUGUUGAAAAAUUAGCGGAUGACUUGUGGCUGGGGGUGAAAGGCCAAUCAAACCGGGAGAUAGCUGGUUCUCCCCGAAAGCUAUUUAGGUAGCGCCUCGUGAACUCAUCUUCGGGGGUAGAGCACUGUUUCGGCUAGGGGGUCAUCCCGACUUACCAACCCGAUGCAAACUACGAAUACCGAAGAAUGUUAUCACGGGAGACACACGGCGGGUGCUAACGUCCGUCGUGAAGAGGGAAACAACCCAGACCGCCAGCUAAGGUCCCAAAGUCAUGGUUAAGUGGGAAACGAUGUGGGAAGGCACAGACAGCCAGGAUGUUGGCUUAGAAGCAGCCAUCAUUUAAAGAAAGCGUAAUAGCUCACUGGUCGAGUCGGCCUGCGCGGAAGAUGUAACGGGGCUAAACCAUGCACCGAAGCUGCGGCAGCGACACUAUGUGUUGUUGGGUAGGGGAGCGUUCUGUAAGCCGUUGAAGGUGGCCUGUGAGGGUUGCUGGAGGUAUCAGAAGUGCGAAUGCUGACAUAAGUAACGAUAAAGCGGGUGAAAAGCCCGCUCGCCGGAAGACCAAGGGUUCCUGUCCAACGUUAAUCGGGGCAGGGUGAGUCGACCCCUAAGGCGAGGCCGAAAGGCGUAGUCGAUGGGAAACAGGUUAAUAUUCCUGUACUCGGUGUUACUGCGAAGGGGGGACGGAGAAGGCUAUGUUAGCCGGGCGACGGUUGUCCCGGUUUAAGCAUGUAGGCGGGAAGUUUAGGUAAAUCCGGACUUCU